UACGUAGGUGGCAAGCGUUAUCCGGAAUUACUGGGCGUAAAGGGUGCGUAGGUGGUUUCUUAAGUCAGAGGUGAAAGGCUACGGCUCAACCCUAGUAAGCCUUUGAAACUGGGAAACUUGAGUGCAGGAGAGGAGAGUGGAAUUCCUAGUGUAGCGGUGAAAUGCGUAGAUAUUAGGAGGAACACCAGUUGCGAAGGCGGCUCUCUGGACUGUAACUGACACUGAGGCACGAAAGCGUGGGGAGCAAACAGGAUUAGAUAUCCCUGUAGUCCCU
rnacentral:rRNA from 1 species